rnacentral:piRNA from 1 species
UCGGAGGAUGUUUGUAUCCACUUAGUGUCUC